ACGGGGUUAUGCAGGGUCUGUUGUGUUGGUUGGAAUAAAGAGGCAUUUCUGUUUCAACAAGUUCAGUUGGGAAGCAGUUUCAAUUGCAUUUAGUAUUAAGUUGUAAUCUGGAGUUACUUCAAAACUUGUUGAUAAACUCAAUCAAUGUUUAAAUGGUUCCAGCAGACACAGUUGUUAUUUUCAAAUGCACACAAUAGCAUCGGGUCAGUUAAAGUCUUGUUUCAGGUGUUCAAAGUAGAAUUGUUUGUAUUUUUAAUCUCACAAAGUGUUACGCUGUAUUAAAUGUUUUUACUUCUGGUUUGCAUGUGGAUUUUUCCACACACUCACAGUAUUUUACUUGAAUCUUAAAGUCUAUGAACCGUAAGACUUAUUCUGGAGAUGUGGUCCUUGUUGAAAAAUGAAGUUGGAAUGCAGUUGAUCUUCUUUGUAACAUGUAGAGCUGCAGGAUGUAACGGUGAGGAGUCUUCUUCUGGAUGAAGAUGCGUACAGUGCUUGAAUGGGUUGCAAGCGAAGGCUCGAUAGUUACUUCAUGAGAUGCAGGAAUCGCUGAUGCUGUGCGUUGGUUGACUCCAUUCAGAGCCAUCUUCAUGCUGCAGAUGUAAAACGGAAAGCCACUCGUCCCUUCCAUCGGGACUUUAACUCCUCUUCGGAAGUUUAAAAAAAGAAACGACGCACCCACGCGUUGCUGUUACACGACCCACAAAGACAACAGCAUGAGGAAACAAAGUAAAGAAUAUUGUGAAUGACCGAACCGAAAACAAACCAGCCCCCUCUCUCGCCUGUCAUUGGCUGCGCGGUCAUUCUGAACCGAGGAGCCAUCUGGUGAUUGGACGACCUGAGACACUUCUAACCAAUAGGGAAUCAGCUUUGUCAUUUUACCGUAAAAUCAAGAAAACGGGCGCAUUUUACUGCUAAUAAUAAUAAUACAUGUGAUGAUAUAUGAAAACAGAAGAUUGAUUUAUGUAUUUAAAAAAGCACACAGAUAAUAGCUGUAUUAAUCAUGUGAAAAACGGAUAAGUUACCAGCUGAUCUGUCAGUUAAUAAAAUGACAAGGAAAUGUUGGUUCAUUUAU